rnacentral:rRNA from 1 species
AAUUAAAAAUAAAACUAAAAGGACGCGGUAACCUUGACCGUGAUAAUGUAGCAUAAUCACUCGCCAUUUAAUUGAUGGAUAGUAUGAAUGGUUGAACGAAUAUUCCACUGUCUUAAAGAGAAUUACAAGAAAUUGAAAUAAUAGUUAAGAUGCUAUUUAAAACUGUAAGACGAAAAGACCCUAUAGAGCUUAACUAUAAUCUCUUUACUUAAAAAGAAAAAUAAUUUUCUUAUAUAAAGAGAUUGGUAGUUUAGUUGGGGCGACUGUCUUCUAAAAUAAACGAAGACAAGCAAUGUUAAUAAAAAACUUAUUGUAUAAUAAAUCUAUUUAACAAUUAUAAAAGUAGGCUAUAUUGACCCGUUUUUACUAAAAAACAAGGAAAAACGAUCAAUUGAUAAAAGCUACCUUAGGGAUAACAGGAUAAUUUCAUUUUAGAGCUC